GGAAUAUUGGUCAAUGGGCGGGAGCCUGAACCAGCCAAGUCGCGUGAGGGAAGACGGUCCUACGGAUUGUAAACCUCUUUUGCCGGGGAGCAACGGGGUCCUUGCGAGGUCCCAAUGAGAGUACCCGGAGAAAAAGCAUCGGCUAACUCCGUUCCAGCAGCCGCGGUAAUACGGAGGAUGCGAGCGUUAUCCGGAUUUACUGGGUGUAAAGGGGGCGCAGACGGCAGCGCAAGCCAGGAGUGAAAGCCCGGGGCCCAACCCCGGGACUGCUCUUGGAACUGCGCGGCUGGAGUGCAGGAGGGGCAGGCGGAAUUCCUGGUGUAGCGGUGAAAUGCGUAGAUAUCAGGAGGAACACCGGUGGCGAAGGCGGCCUGCUGGACUGCGACUGACGUUGAGGCCCGAAAGCGUGGGGAGCAAACAG
rnacentral:rRNA from 1 species